rnacentral:lncRNA from 1 species
GUCCCUCUGUCCCUGGCACAGGGUGACUCAGGACAGUGGACACUCCAAUCUGGAUAGCAGGUGACACCUGGCACCCCUUACUAUCCUUGCACCAAUGGCUGCAGCUGCAUCUCGGAGUUGCCUGGGAUGGGGCUGUGCCUAGACAUGACGCCAGAUUGCACAUCUGCUUGUGUCGUCUCUCUGGGCCUUGCUCAGGAUGCCAUGAUGCUGGCUGAGAUGAGUUUUGAAGAGAGAGCCCCAGCCAGAUGAAGGUAAACGGUCUUGAGAAUACUUUAAAGAUCUCAAAGUGCAGUGGGCUUUACCCUCACCCCUGCCCGCUCCCGGGUAUGCCUACUUCUGCAGUGUUGCAGGCUGGUCAUGCGGUAUCAGCCCCAAGCUGCCCUGUGGUACUGGUCUCAGGCAGUUCCUUCAGCCUCCUGAGUGCUGUAGGAGAGCCAUCCCAGCGCUGUGCCUGGGGCCUCUGGGUAGUUCCUGUGUGGCGUACUGCUGUCUGACUUGAGGGGUGGGGGUGGGGAAUGGUGUUAGAAAUCCAUUAACUGGGGACCUGGACUCCUGAGUGCAUUUUCAGCCCUGAAUGCCAGAUGCUGCCCCGGAGAGGAAGAAUCUAGUGGGAGAGAAGUCUGAGGAGGCACUAAUGUCUCAGGUCUCAUCUCAGUGGCCCCCCUUUUCCCCUCCCUACCUGGUGUGUGAUGAGCGGCUAUCAACCCACAACUCCGGGCCAGCUUCCUAUGUGUCCCUGUGUGUCCCCCUCCUGGCUGCGAGGUCAGUGUGGUAGCAUUCAGCUCAAGGACUCUAAGGCCAGUGGGGCCACCUCUGGUACUUCCUUAUUUGAUGACAAUUCUCAGGGUGGCUACUGGCUAUGACCUUCCUAAUGGCCUUUGACAGUUCUGCAAAACCCUAUUGUGUCACUCCUGAGAAUGGCCCCUUGCGUAUCAGGCUUCCAUGACAGGAUGUGGCCUGUGGGCUCACCGGCUAGCCUCCUUUGCCUCACUUGGGCUUUGUCCCACAGUGAGUGCCUAGGCCUUCUCCUGGGGACUGAACAGGCAGGCACAGACGUAGGGUGGGGACCCUGGGGCUGAUAACCCUCUUUGUUUCAAAUUCUGUUUAUCUGCUGGUAAGGGAAGUAUAGACUGCUCUGAGGCCCACCACUGUGCCCUCUGUGUGUCACACACCCUGUCCCCUGGUGAAGAGACAAUCCCAUGUUAACAGUCUUCUUCUGGAACCAUCUUCUACUUGUCACAGAGAGGUACCUAGUGGCACCUCCAGGCCCAAAGGGAGGAGCUCUGGGGACAGGCCGUGGAACUAGAGGCUCUGCAGCUUAGCUGGAGCCGAAAUGAGGUAGUGACCAGCCUGCCCCAGCCUCAACAGCUCAGACACUGGAACUUCAGAGGGACUGCAGCGCAGGCUGCAGUCAGUGCACAGAUGUGUAGCCCAAGCCUUUAUACCUUGGUGUGGCCCUGCAUGUCCUCGGGUCCUAAUGUUUCCCCUGACUCAUGCUGGACCUUAGGCUGAGCCAGUCCGUGGGACACCCCUGGCUCUUGGGUGUGCCUAGACAGAACUGUGGCUCCUCUCUCCACAUUCACUAUUGUGUGAGCUUUGGAGUUAGACACCCAUCUCCAGGCCUUAGUGUCCUGGGAAGUGAGCAAUGAUAGCCCCCGAGCUCAGGUUGGCCUCUGGGUAUGGUGGCUCUCCUGGAUGGUGCUGGGUAAAUUGAUUCUCAUGGGCGUUGCAGGGCCCCAGCCAUGAACUAACCACCUCCCAGACCAUUCCAGCUCAGUGACCACUUCCUUGAUGUCACAGGUCUUCUUCAGUUUAAGACCUAAAGCUUAAGCCUAAGCUUGUGAUUGCUUGGAUGUGUGCUGUUGGCCCCAAAGUGCUGGCCGGAACCUUUGCUCUGACCUGGUAAUAGAAUCCAGGGAGCUGUGUCCCUGGGCUGCAUGCUCACGCUGCUGCAAGCAUUUAGAAGCAUGUGGCCCCUACAUUGCGUGCAUAUGCUGCCGUGGGAAUUCAGAAUUGAGGAAGACGUGGCCCCAGACUGCAUGCUCAUGCUGCUGCAAGCAUUCAAGAUGAUGUGGCCUCUGGGCUGCGUGCACAUGCUGCCAUGGGAUUACAGGAAGACGUGGCCCUCAGACUGUGUGCUUGUGCAACUGUGCUCAGGACCUGCACAGCCCAUAGUCCUGCCCCACAGGAGCCCCCAACACCAAGGGCAGAGUCUAUGCUGGGUGGGAAGGAGCGGGGGCAUACAUGUUUUGCAUAGGGAAGGAAGGGACAGUGGGUAGGUAUGGCUUCCUUCCUCCCUCUUUCCCCUGCCAUAGUGUGGUUCCCCACCAGCUGGGAGGCUUUGGCUGUCCCCACCAUGGCUCCCCCCUACCUCAUUUAUCAUUUCUCCAGCUGAACCUGUGGUGAGUGUGGUGGCUGCCUUCCUCCCUGUCCCCUCUUAAGGAUGCACCUUGGUUUUUGUUUAGUUGGUUUUUUUGUUUUUGAGACCGGGUCUCAGUAUGUAGCCCUGCCUGGCCUGGAGCUCACCAUGUAGACCAGGCUGGCCUCAGACUCACAGAGUGAGUUUGUCUCUGCUUCCUGAGUGCUGGAAUCCAAGGGGUUGUGCCACCACACCCAGCAAGGAUAUACUUGAUGUCACCUGGGCUGUGAUCACCUGGCCACAGGCCACAGAUGGUCUGGGCAGCAGGGUGUCCCCAGGUUUUUCUGUCUGCACAGCUGCUGAUGCUUCAAUCCUCCCUAGUGCGCUGGGAACUGGGGGGUGGGGGGGGCAAAGGAUGGCCCUCCUUCCCACAAAGACGCAGAGCAGGCUGUUCACAUAGCCAGGUGAUGGAAGCAAGCAGAAGAGCACAGCCGUGCGUCUGUCCUGCAGACAUCCUUCAGCAUGGAGAUGACGACGGAAGUUCUAACACACAGCAAUGCCACGCGCCUUAUGGUUCCGCUCCUCAGAUGGGGCUCCUCAGUGUCUUUUCAUAUUGCGUCAACAGUGAUGACUUUUCUGAUCCCCUCGACUCUGCCACAGCUUUACAUUUUAAGCACAGCAUUAUCUGAGGGUCAUGUUUAUAAUUCUGUUUUAAGCAUAGAGUUUGGUUAGGUAGGGCACAUGUAUAAGGCUAGGCACCCUCACCAGACUCAAGUAGGAACAUUGUCAAAUUUUCUAGCUGGUUGGUAGCUCACCCCAGCCCCUCUGAGCCCUGAACCUGCUGCACUGGCCAUACAGAGAUGCGCAGUGAUCGCACGCAUCUGAGCUGCUUUGUGGGCGUCUCCAGAACACAGCCAGCACUUCUCCUGAAAGCCCACAGAGGAAUGGUGGCCAACACAUGUCUCUUAGAAAGCAGCUCUCUCCAGUGCCUUACCCUGUGACCCUGCAGUUUGGAAAGGUGGUGGUUUGGGGGC